CUACGGGCGGCAGCAGUGGGGAAUAUUGGACAAUGGGGGAAACCCUGAUCCAGCAAUGCCGCGUGUGUGAAGAAGGCCUGCGGGUUGUAAAGCACUUUCGGUUGGGAGGACUGCUUCUAGCACUAAUAUUGUUGGAAGUUGACGUUACCUUCAGAAGAAGCACCGGCUAACUCCGUGCCAGCAGCCGCGGUAAUACGGAGGGUGCAGCGUUAAUCGGAAUUACUGGGCGUAAAGCGCGCGUAGGCGGCUAGAUCAGUCGGGUGUGAAAGCCCCGGGCUUAACCUGGGAACUGCAUCCGAUACUGUCUAGCUUGAGUGCAGGAGAGGAGAGUGGAAUUCCACAUGUAGCGGUGAAAUGCGUAGAUAUGUGGAGGAACACCAAUGGCGAAGGCAGCUCUCUGGCCUGAUACUGACGCUGAGGUGCGAAAGCGUGGGGAGCAAACAGGAUUAGAUACCCCAGUAGUC
rnacentral:rRNA from 1 species